AUAAUGUUUAUUUUUUAAAUAUAUUAAUGAAUCAAACUUGAAUUGGGAUUCAAUCCAUAAUUGGGAUCUUAGAUUCCAUAAGAACCGUAACGCAAUAUAUCGCUUGACCGUUUGCAUUGAGCGCCACAGAACGAGAGGCAGCAAUCGAUUCGAACGAGAGGCAGCAAUCGAUUCUCUGCUCACCGCUAUCUUUCGAUUAGCAUUCAUUUAGCGUUCAGCACAAGAGAUAGAAUAGUUUCGACCUAACCGCCGUCACGACAAGACGUGUUCGAAUACAUUCGGACCGUGUAAUUUUUUGGAACGUGUCUUGGAAUUUUCCAAGACUUUACUCUUGAUAUAGAUCACUAUCGAAAAAUGACGUUGGGGCAUAACUCUUAGAGAAGCCUGGAGCCAGAUAUUAAAGUUGAAGAAGUUGACAAGAGAUAGAAUGAUCUGUACUCCACUAGUGCUGCACCUCCUGCACUCGAAAGAAAUCAAACAAAUAAUUGCUGCAAGCUGUAAACGAUGACAAAGUAACACUUAUGAAUAUAAUAUCGAACCAGAUGACAAAAAUAAAAUAAAAAGCUCAGUACUAAA